rnacentral:rRNA from 1 species
GACGAACGCUGGCGGCGUGCUUAACACAUGCAAGUCGAACGGUGAAGCGCCUUCCUUUUUGGUGGGUGUGGAUGAGUGGCGAACGGGUGAGUAACACGUGAGUAACCUGCCCCCUUCUUCUGGAUAACCGCAUGAAAGUGUGGCUAAUACGGGAUAUUCUGGGUCUGUCGCAUGAUGGGUCUGGGAAAGAUAUUGUUUCGGUGGGGGAUGGGCUCGCGGCCUAUCAGCUUGUUGGUGGGGUGAUGGCCUACCAAGGCGGUGACGGGUAGCCGGCCUGAGAGGGUGGACGGUCACGCUGGGACUGAGACACGGCCCAGACUCCUACGGGAGGCAGCGGUGGGGAAUAUUGCACAGUGGGCGCAAGACUGAUGCAGGGACGCCGCGUGAGGGAUGGAGGCCUUCGGGUUGUGAACCUCUUUCGCCAGUGAAGCAGGCCUGCCUCGUUUGUGGGUGGGUUGACGGUAGCUGGAUAAGAAGCGCCGGCUAACUACGU